rnacentral:lncRNA from 1 species
GCUGAGAUAAAAACACAAAUGUUUCUAGAUUUGAAGGAUAAUUAAUGUUACCCUUUUGGCUUUGAUUUAAACUAAUUUAUCAAUUUAUUUUUUUUUAAUUUUAGGUAAUUUAUUUUGUGUUUCUUGGAAUGAGAAUACUGCAGAUUUACCUAAUUGGCUGUGUUACAUUGCCUUAAUUUUAAAAGUUAUAGACAUACAGCAGUUACUUCAUUCAAAAAACAAAACAAAACAAAACAAAAACCAACAAUCUGAUGCUAAACAUUAUUGUUACUAAUAACAACAGCAAUAAUAAGCAAUAAUAAUAAUCUUAAGAUGUCACAUGAUUAAGAAAACAGUAGAAUGAAAACCAACUCCAUUUCUGACAGUUGUUUUUAACUACCACAUGAAAACAGAACUGCUCCUGUUUCCCAUAAAAACAGUGUUAGUUUUGGCAUGGCUUGGGCACAGAGGUACACAACCAAUAUCCAACCAAUGACGAUUUCUCCCUAGGAAUGCAUGUAUCGUCUCUACUUGAAGCAAAUGAAUAAAUACCAUUUCUAUUUACUUCAUUUUUAAAAAAAUUUAAUUAAUUAAUUAAUUAAUUAAUUAAUUAAUUAAUUAAUUAAUUGUAGCUUAGAUUAUUACCAGUUUAAUUUUAUUUUUCGGACCACUUUCCAACGUCAUGAUGUUAACCAUGAUGGAUCUGCAUCUGCUUCAUGAGCAAGAGAAACAUCCUUGAAAUCAUCUGUAACUUGGUGAGAAUGAAAAUGUCACAACUAAAGAACCAGCCUGUCUUGAGUCCUGAGAAGACUAUAUUGAGCAUUUGCCUCUAAGCUUCAUCUCUACAGGAAGAAGGAAAAGAAUUACAGUCAGCGAGACUCAUCUCCAUUAUGUGUAGCCAGAUUGAACUUGGCUGUUAGGAGUACAAAAUCAUCCAAACUCCUGUCUGCAGUUAAUGGGGAGAAAUAACAGUUCUACUGGAAAGUGAAUCCUAUUUCAAUAUAAAUCUAACCUAUGCUGAUUCAUCCUUUCUACAGAUGAUGAACUGGGUUGGAUUACAUGCAUAACCAACAAAUAUAGGUGAAGGAAAUCCCACCUACUGUGCUUCUUAAUUAGCUGGAGACACUAAGCUCAAGUGUUGUUAGUUAUCUUCUUCCACAUAAAGCAGGAAAAUACUGUCCAUAUAUUGAUUCCAGUCUCUAAACCAUCUGAA